GAUGAAGAACGUAGCGAAAUGCGAUAAGUAAUGUGAAUUGCAGAAUUCAGUGAAUCAUCGAAUCUUUGAACGCACAUUGCGCCCGCCAGUAUUCUGGCGGGCAUGCCUGUUCGAGGGUCAUUUCAACCCUCAGGCCCCCAGUGCCUGGCGUUGGGGAUCGGCGCGGCGCCCUCCGGGGCGCUGCCGGCCCCGAAAUUCAGUGGCGGUCUCGCUGUAGCCCUCCUCCGCGUAGUAGCACAACCUCGCGGCCUGGAGCUCGGCGGUGGCCAUGCCGUAAAACACCCCACUUCUGAAAGUUGACCUCGGAUCAGGUAGGAAUACCCGCUGAACUUAAGCAUAUCAAUAAGCGGAGGA
rnacentral:misc_RNA from 1 species